rnacentral:rRNA from 1 species
UAGUGGCGAACGGGUGAGUAACACGUGGGAAAUCUGCCCUGCACUCUGGGACAAGCCUUGGAAACGAGGUCUAAUACCGGAUAUGACCUUCCCUCGCAUGGGGGUUGGUGGAAAGCUCCGGCGGUGCAGGAUGGUCCCGCGGCCUAUCAGCUUGUUGGUGGGGUAAUGGCCUACCAAGGCGACGACGGGUAGCCGGCCUGAGAGGGCGACCGGCCACACUGGGACUGAGACACGGCCCAGACUCCUACGGGAGGCAGCAGUGGGGAAUAUUGCACAAUGGGCGAAAGCCUGAUGCAGCGACGCCGCGUGAGGGAUGACGGCCUUCGGGUUGUAAACCUCUUUCAGCAGGGAAGAAGCGCAAGUGACGGUACCUGCAGAAGAAGCACCGGCUAACUACGUGCCAGCAGCCGCGGUAAUACGUAGGGUGCGAGCGUUGUCCGGAAUUAUUGGGCGUAAAGAGCUCGUAGGCGGCCUGUCGCGUCGGAUGUGAAAGCCCGGGGCUUAACCCCGGGUCUGCAUUCGAUACGGGCAGGCUAGAGUGUGGUAGGGGAGAUCGGAAUUCCU